UACGUAGGGCGCAAGCGUUGUCCGGAAUUAUUGGGCGUAAAGAGCUCGUAGGCGGCCUGUUACGUCUGCUGUGAAAACCCGAGGCUCAACCUCGGGCCUGCAGUGGGUACGGGCAGACUAGAGUGCGGUAGGGGAGAUUGGAAUUCCUGGUGUAGCGGUGGAAUGCGCAGAUAUCAGGAGGAACACCAAUGGCGAAGGCAGAUCUCUGGGCCGUAACUGACGCUGAGGAGCGAAAGCAUGGGGAGCGAACAGG
rnacentral:rRNA from 1 species